UACGUAGGGUGCGAGCGUUGUCCGGAAUUACUGGGCGUAAAGAGUUCGUAGGCGGUUUGUCGCGUCGUCUGUGAAAUUCCGGGGCUUAACUCCGGGCGUGCAGGUGAUACGGGGAAACUGGAGUGCUGUAGAGGAGAGUGGAAUUCCUGGUGUAGCGGUGGAAUGCGCAGAUAUCAGGAGGAACACCGAUGGCGAAGGCAGCUCUCU
rnacentral:rRNA from 1 species